rnacentral:rRNA from 1 species
UGGGCCGCCCGACGGGUACGCGCGGGCGCCCUGGCGGCGAGUGGCGAACGGGGGACAGUACAUCGGAACGUGUCCUGGAGUGGGGGAUAGCCCGGCGAAAGCCGGAUUAAUACCGCAUACGCUCGGGAGAGGAAAGCGGGGGAUCUUCGGACCUCGCGCUCAAGGGGCGGCCGAUGGCAGAUUAGCUAGUUGGUGGGGUAAAGGCCUACCAAGGCGACGAUCUGUAGCUGGUCUGAGAGGACGACCAGCCACACUGGGACUGAGACACGGCCCAGACUCCUACGGGAGGCAGCAGUGGGGAGAUUUUGGAACAAUGGGAGUCAACCCAUGAUCCAGCAACUGCCGCGAGUGCGAAGAAGGCCUUCAGGAUGCUAAAGCACGGUUGUCCAGCGAAAGAGAUUAACUUCGUCCCUAAUACGGGUGGAGGAAGACGCUACCGGAAGAACAAGCACCGGCUAACUACGGUCCCAGCAGCGCAGCGAUACUAUAGUGCGUAGGGUGAGAGCGAUUAAUCGGAAUGUACUAGGCGUGAACAGCGUGCGCAGGCGGUUCGCUAAAACCGAUGUCAAAUCCCAAGGCUUAACGCUGGGAACUGCAUUGGCGACUGGCGGGCUGAGAGUUAUGACAGAGGCAGAGGUAGGAAUUGCACGUCGUCGCUACGAUGAAAUGCAUAAAAAAUGAUGGAAAGAAUACAGGACGGGCAAAGGCACCCCCCUCGGCCCAAUCACUGGACGGCUCAUGCACGACAAGAGCAUGGGGGAGCAAACAAGGAGUGAGAUAUCCCUGGGGUAGUCCUCAGCUCGUAAUACAAGAUCUAAAACUAGUAGUCGGGGGCUCGUCAUUGACUGGGAAACGUAGUCUACACCGCGUGAAGUUGACACCCCCGGGGGGAGUACGGCGCGCAAGAUUAAAACUCAAAGGAUUAUUGACGGGGACCACCACACAAGCGGUGGAGGAAGUGAGCAGUAGUUAUGAUGCAGGACGACGAAAAAACUUCCUACCCUUGUACACAUAAGAUAAUCCCCUAAGAGGAUGGGAGUGUCCCGAAAAGGAGCCACAGUAACCCAGGUGCUGCAUGGCUGCUGUCAGCCCCUGCUCGUGGAUGAUGUUGGGUUAUACUCCCGCAACGAGGACAGGCAACACUUCUUCCCUAGUUGCUAAGCAAAAACCAUCUAUUAGGGAGACUGGCCUGUGCAUGACAAACGCGGAGGAAGGAUCGGUCGGAAGACGUCAAGUCCUGCAUGCCCUCCUAUGCGUGUAGGGAGUUCCGCCCGUCCUCCAAUGCAGCCCUUGGAACAGAGGGUUUCCCAACCGGGAGGGGGAACCCAUUCCCGAAAACCGAUUGUAGUUCGGAUUGCCGUUUUCAAAUUGAAUGGGUGAAAGCGGAAUUGCUUGUUAUUCCGGAUCCGCCUGCCGCGGGGAAUUAGUUUCCGGGUUUUGUUCCCAACGCCCGUCCCCCCCUGGAGUGGGUUUUUCCCAAAACCGUCUACCANCCCAAAGAGGACGGUCCCCCCGGUUGGAUUCAUGAUUGGGGGAAGUACA